UAGCAUUACUCGGCACUUCAUCGAUGACUACGUCAAAUUCCGUCUUCUCUUCAACCACAGCUGGAGCAUCUGCGGCUGCGCCACCAGGAGCGGCGACGACCGCAGCAGGAGCGAAGGAUGCGGCCGAAACACCAAGCUUAUCCUGAAGGUACUCAACGAGUUUCUGCGCAUCAGCGAGAGUUAGAGUGGAGAUUUCAUCUCCGAGCUGUACUACCUUCUCCGGUGCUUCGACGGCGGCGAGAGGGCGGACGAAAGUGGCUCGGCGGUGGUGGAGUUUGGGAGAGCCAAUGGGGAGUUCUAGGGUUUUGGUAGGGAAGGAAAUUGAUGCGUACGUGGAGCUUGCGGUUGCUGGAGAAAUAGGAGAGGGAGAACGAAGGGUAAUUGUGGAUAAUGUGGAAGCCAUUGUAGCAGAGCUAAAGAGGAAUUGAGGAGAAGGGAGUGAAAGAAGAGGGAACAAGAAAAAAUAGGAUAAGGGGGAUUGAAAAUUGUGUUGAUAAGGUUAUAUAUAGCGUCUCAUUUUUAAUUUUAAUUUUAGUCCAUUAUUAUUGAAAUUUUAUUGGAGAAAAAGAAAUUUAGUGAGGCCGGAUAAACUUAUUUCAAGUGUUUUUAGUAAGUAUAAAUUUUAGGAAUCACAAUAGUUUUAAUAUGAAAUUAUAAUAUAUUCCUAUUUAGUUUGUAAUUAUAUUAAUCCCUGAAAAAGUAAAAUAAACCGGAUACAUAAUAUGUAGCUUAGAUAUAUUAAAAACUAGCUCGGAUACUUUAUAAAAUAAUUUUGAAUUAGGAGAGAAAUAAGGGCUUUUAGAGGUUUUGUAUAAAUUUUAGGAAUCACAUAGUUUUAAUAUGAAAUACAAUCUAUCCCUAUUUAGUUUGUAAUUACAUUAAUUCCUGAAAAAGUAAAACAAAUCGGAUACAUUAAAAACUAGCUCGAAUACAUUAUUCAAAUCUAAGUGUUUGUUUAGAUUCUAAAUUAUUUUAUAAUGUAUCCGAGAUACAUAUUAGUUUUUAAUGUAUCCGAAUUACAUAUUAUCUAAGUAUAUCCUCAAUUAAUUAAGUUUAUAAAAAAAUAGAACUUUCUUGAAAAAUCUUAAAUUUUUAAUUCAUCUACUUCAUAGUAAUUAUUAGGAUUAAAAUGAAUAAAUAAUAAACUCAUUAUAUCAAUAAUUAUUUUCUUAAUAGAUAUAUUAAUUCAAAAAUGAACAAAUAAUUAGGAACAGAUAAUAACCAAUAUUACUAUUUCAUUUUCACAACUUAGAGAGUAGUAAUAAUUUCUUUUCAAUAUCCAACCUUCCAACAAAUUCUACAAGAAUAUGGAUUUGCGAGAUUUUUUCUUUCUUAUUUACCCUUUUUAAAUAUUAUAUAUUUCCUCCGUCCACUUUUAAAUGUUAUAAUUUUCUUUUUUAGAGUCAAAAUUAUAAGAACUUUGACUAAUAUUUUACGAUAUAAAAUUGAUAUGCAAAAAAUUGCUAUUUAUAGUACUUUUCGUAUAGUUUUUGAAUAUCUAAAUUUUUUAUUCAAAAAUAUCGAACUAAUAUAAUCUGAUUUAACUUUGAAAAUUAGUCAAAUUAACUUUCGAAAAACACAGCAUGACAAUUAAAAGUGAACGAAUGUAGUAUUAAUAAUUAAUACUCUCUCCAUUUUAUAUUAUUUGACCAAUUAAUUUUAGUCGGGCGGGUGGGCUUGGUAGAUGCCGAAAGAAGAUUACCCACAGUAUAGUGAACAACUAUUAUUGGACAGAUAAAUUAAGGGUAUAGUAGGAAUUUUUUUUGUCAUUUCUUAAUUUUUCAAAAAUGACAACGGAGAAGUAUCUUUUUUGAACAAAAAAAACAAAAAAAGGGGGCAUUCCGAGAAUCGAACUCGGGACCUCUCGCACCCAAAGCGAGAAUCAUACCACUAGACCAAAUGCCCUGCUUCGAUAUCCGUGUACUUAUAGUUCUAUAUAUUUCCAAAUAAAAAGUGUAAAGCCUUCAUGAUUUUCUAAUGAAACGAGGAUGUAAAAAGACAAGAAAAGCACAGCCAAUCUUGUUGGAUCAAAUGACAUAAAUUCCUAUCCUUAAUCCCCUCCUCACUACGAUCUUUAGUGAGAAAAGGGCCAAAUCCCCCCUAAAGCUUUAGCCAUAUUUCCAACUACACACUUAACUUUUGCGGGGUUCUAUUACCCCUUGAACCUUUUUUUUUUAAAUAUUAGUUCACCCUCAGACGCUGAUGUGUCCACAUAAACCAGAUUUAUAAAAAAUGUUUCUAUACACGCGCUGUCCACGUAUAUAUUAGUGGACCUCAUGAAUUUACACGACUCACAAAUUGACACGUGUCACAAAACUUUACCUUUACCUUUUAUGAACCUAAUUGACCCUCAUUCUUCUUCCUAAUCUAAUCUCUACGAUCUUCUUUCUAAUCUAAUCUCUAGUUCUUCUUCCUUUUCUCUACGAUCUUCCUUUACUGACGUUGCUCGAAAAGCUUACUUACUAUUUCUUCUGAGAAAAGGUUAAAUCUUUACUUACUAACCCUAAUAACACAAAGUGAAAAAAAUAAAAUCAAGCUAUUGAAUUGGGGAAGAUUUCGAUUGUUCAAUAUGAAAUUCGAGAAAAUUGCAAAUCCUAAAUUCAAUCUUAGUUGGAGAAGAUACAACAACUAAAUUCAAGCUUUGAAAAUGGUGGAUGAAGAACAAAGAAGAGAGCUUUUGUUCAAGAACAAAAUAGAUGGAGAUAAAUGAAUUGGGAAAAGAAUAAAAAAUAAAUGUAUGGUUAAAUAAAGAGUAAAUUUACUGUUGGGAGGCUUAUUUGGACUCCACAUGGACAUUUUAUUACGUUCUUACACGCCUCACGGAGGUGAGUUCACGUAUGUGGACACAUCAGCGUCUGAGGGUGAACUAAUAUUAGAAAAAAAAGGUUCAGGGGGUAAUAGGACCCCCGCAAAGGUUAAGUGUAUAGUUGGAAAUAUGGCUAAAGCUUGAGGGGCAUUUGACCCUUUUCUCAUCUUUAGUCUUUUACCAAAGUUAGUCCACCCGUUAUUUUUUAGUAGAGAAAAGGAAAUGGAAUUUAAAAUCUUCUAUUUGCAGAUGAUAUUGCUAUUCACAUAGCUAGCGUUUGGCUAAAAAUUCCCAAAUAUGUCAUUUUUGGGUUAAGUUUCCCAAGUUCUUUUCCAAAUAUAUUUGUGGCCAAAUUAGUUCCAACACAUUUAAGUGCUAUUCACUUCAAACUAGAAUUUACCUUUUAAGUAUGAGAUGUAUCAUUCAAAAUGCCUGACAUGUAGACUAAAGACGACACAUAUUUGUAAGACGGGGAAAUCCAUUUUCAGGCUAAGUAUUCCGAAUUAACUAAGCCAAAAUCAUAUAUCACAGCUAGAAAAGACGUGUAAAGAUCUUACAUGGGAAAUGCUUCUUGAACAAUAUAGUAUGCAAAGGCGUCAAUUGAUGCAGCCACACAUGUACAAGACUGGAAGCUGAACCACUGCUGACAACAACAGCCUCUGGUGACUGUGAUUUACGACUCAAUGUCAAUGCAAAAUCCAAGCCCUCAAUUGCUGGUUUGAGCAUUGUGAUCUUUGCAAUAUAGACAAUUGAUUGCAUUUCACCGAAUCAGCUUAUUUUCACAACCAGUAACCAAAAUGAGACAAUUUAACUCCUAGUAUAAUAUAGUGGAGUUGCAUAUUCUUGAGAUUGGAACCAAAUUCAAGCAUAGGUUCAACAAAAUAGUAAUCAUGAUUAACAUUCAACACUGGUGUGCCAGGUUAGGUUCAAGCUUAAGAUUCUGCUCGUGAGCAUAAUGGUAUAAGCCUGCCGUGACGAAAGUCGGACCUUCAAGGAUCCACACACCCCAAAUUAGGAUUUGUGGGAGCAUUUGAGUUGGAUAGUAGGCACCAGAAACACAAACAAUCAAAAACUGGAACAAUCUCACAAAUGAUGCAGAACCAUAAGCAAAGAGGGCUGAAUAAACUUGAUUUUAGAAAAUUGGGUACAAGUAUAUCUAACAACUGAAUUCUCUUGCGAAAAUACAAAUAAGAUUGAACAUUUACCACAAAUUUAUUUAAGCAAUAGAAACUUUAGCACCAGCUUCUUCAAGCUGUUUCUUAGCAUCUUCAGCCUCAUCCUUGGAAACACCCUCCUUAAAUUUCUUAGGCAAUCCUUCAAUCAAUUCCUUCGCCUCUUUCAAAGCCAAACUUGUUAAAGCCCUAACAGCCUUAAUAGUCGCAAUUCUAGCAUUACUCGGUACUUCAUCGAUGACUACAUCAAAUUCCGUCUUCUCCUCAACCACAGGUGGAGCAUCUGCGGCUGCGCCACCAGGGGCAGCGACGACGGCAGCGGGAGCGAAGGAUGCGGCUGAAACUCCAAGCUUAUCCUGAAGGUACUCUACGAGUUUCUGGGCAUCGGCGAGGGUUAAGUUGGAGAUUUCAUCUCCGAGCUGGACUACCUUCUCCGGUGCUUCGACGGCGGCGAGAGGGCGGACGAAAGUGGCUCGGCGGUGGUGGAGUUUGGGAGUGCGAAUGGGGAGUU
rnacentral:lncRNA from 1 species